UACAGAGGUCUCAAGCGUUGUUCGGAUUCAUUGGGCGUAAAGAGCUCGUAGGCGGUUUGUCGCGUCGGCUGUGAAAACUCGGGGCUCAACCCCGAGCCUGCAGUCGAUACGGGCAAACUAGAGUGUGGUAGGGGAGACUGGAAUUCCUGGUGUAGCGGUGAAAUGCGCAGAUAUCAGGAGGAACACCGGCGGCGAAGGCGGCGACCUGGGUGGAUACUGACGCUGAGGAGCGAAAGCGUGGGGAGCGAACAGG
rnacentral:rRNA from 1 species